UUAAUUUUAAUAUCGUAUUUCAGCUGCGUUUAUACUGCUUGGUGCGCAUUCGCUGCGUUAUAUUAAUUUAUAUGCCUAUCAGACCAGAGGCAAAAAAGCACAGCCACAUACCAAAUUUAAGCAAUCGUGAGAUUAUAUACAUGGAAAGAAUAUGGAAAUUUUGUUAAAAGCACCCCGUAUAAUGACGAAAGCACCGCGCAUAAUGCUCGAAUCACUGCGUAUAAUGGGCGAACGCACCGCGUAUAUUGGCGAAAGCACCACGUAAAAUGC